rnacentral:rRNA from 1 species
GGUCGCAAGAUUAAAACUCAAAUGAAUUGACGGGGGCCCGCACAAGCAGUGGAGCAUGUGGUUUAAUUCGAUGCAACGCGAAGAACCUUACCAGGCCUUGACAUCCUCGGAACUUUCUAGAAAUAGAUUGGUGCCUUCGGGAACCGAGUGACAGGUGCUGCAUGGCUGUCGUCAGCUCGUGUCGUGAGAUGUUGGGUUAAGUCCCGUAACGAGCGCAACCCUUGUCCUUAGUUGCCAGCACAUAAUGGUGGGAACUCUAAGGAGACUGCCGGUGACAAACCGGAGGAAGGUGGGGACGACGUCAAGUCAUCAUGGCCCUUACGGCCUGGGCUACACACGUGCUACAAUGGCUAGGACAGACGGCUGCAAACCCGCGAGGGGGAGCUAAUCCGACAAACCUAGUCGUAGUCCGGAUCGGAGUCUGCAACUCGACUCCGUGAAGUCGGAAUUGCUAGUAAUCGCGAAUCAGAAUGUCGCGGUGAAUACGUUCCCGGGCCUUGUACACACCGCCCGUCACACCAUGGGAGUGGGUUGCUCCAGAAGUGGUUAGUCUAACCUUCGGGAGGACGAUCACCACGGAGUGAUUCAUGACUGGGGUG